UGCGUAGGCGGUUAGUUAAGUCUGUUGUGAAAUCCCCGGGCUCAACCUGGGAAUGGCAAUGGAUACUGGCUAGCUAGAGUGUGUCAGAGGAUGGUGGAAUUUCCGGUGUAGCGGUGAAAUGCGUAGAGAUCGGAAGGAACAUCAGUGGCGAAGGCGGGCCAUCUGGGACAACACUGACGCUGAAGCACGAAAGCGUGGGGGAGCAAACA
rnacentral:rRNA from 1 species